rnacentral:hammerhead_ribozyme from 1 species
AUUCAGCCGACCAGUCACAAAUAGGACGAAACGCGCGUCCUGGAU